rnacentral:rRNA from 1 species
GACGAACGCUGGCGGCGUGCUUAACACAUGCAAGUCGAACGGGUCUGCCCUGUUUUUUGCGGGGUGGGUCAGUGGCGAACGGGUGAGUAACACGUGAGUAACCUGCCCCUCACUUCUGGAUAACCGCUUGAAAGGGUGGCUAAUACGGGGUGUUCUGGCUGUGCCGCAUGGUGUGGCUGGGAAAGAUUCACUUUUGUGGUGUUUUGGUGGGGGAUGGGUUCGCGGCCUAUCAGCUUGUUGGUGGGGUGAUGGCCUGCCAAGGCUUUGACGGGUAGCCGGCCUGAGAGGGUGGGCGGUCACACUGGGACUGAGAUACGGCCCAGACUCCUGCGGGAGGCAGCAGUGGGGGGUAUUGCACAAUGGGCGGAAGCCUGAUGCAGCGACGUCGCGUGAGGGAUGGAGGCCUUCGGGUUGUGAACCUCUUUCGCCGGUGAAGAAGGUCCUGCUCUUUGUGGUGGGGUUGACGGUAGCCGGGUUAUGAAGCGCCGGCUAACUACGUG